rnacentral:rRNA from 1 species
GAUGAACGCUGGCGGCGUGCCUAAUACAUGCAAGUCGAGCGAACGGACGCGACGCUUGCUUCUCUGUUGUUAGCGGAGGACGGGUGUGUAACAUGUGGAUAAUCUACCUAUCAGACUGGGAUCACUUCGGAAAACCGGAGCUUAUACCGGAUAAUCUUUUGCACCGUAUGGUUCAAAAGUGAAAUACGGUGUUGGUGUCACUACUCGAUGGUUCCGAGCUGGAUUAGCUAGUUGGUAAGGUCAAGGCGUUCCACGGCAACGAUGCCUGGCCGACCUGCGAGAGUGGUAGGCCACACGAGAAGUGGGACACGGUCCAGGCGCCUACGAGAGGCAGCAGUAGGGAAUCUUCCGCAGUAGGCGAAAGCCUUACGGAGCAACGCGGCGUGUGUGAUGAAGGUCUUCGGAUCGUAAAACUCUGUUAUGAGGGAAGAACAUAUGUGUAAGUAGCUGUGCACAUCGUGACGGUACCGAGUCAGAAAGCAACGGCUAACUACGUG